rnacentral:rRNA from 1 species
GAUGAACGCUGGCGGCGUGCCUAAUACAUGCAAGUCGAGCGAACAGACGAGGAGCUUGCUCCUUCGACGUUAGCGGCGGACGGGUGAGUAACACGUAGGUAACCUACCUAUAAGACUGGGAUAACUUCGGGAAACCGGAGCUAAUACCGGAUAAUAUUUCGAACCGCAUGGUUCGAUAGUGAAAGAUGGCUUUGCAAUCACUUAUAGAUGGACCUGCGCCGUAUUAGCUAGUUGGUAAGGUAACGGCUUACCAAGGCAACGAUACGUAGCCGACCUGAGAGGGUGAUCGGCCACACUGGAACUGAGACACGGUCCAGACGCCUACGGGAGGCAGCAGUAGGGAAUCUGCCGCAAUGGGCGAAAGCCUGACGGAGCAACGCCGCGUGAGUGAUGAAGGUCUUCGGAUCGUAAAACUCUGUUAUUAGGGAAGAACAAACGUGUAAGUAACUGUGCACGUCUUGACGGUACCUAAUCAGAAAGCCACGGCUAACUACGUG